GGGGCUGAUUCUGGAUUCGACGGGAUUUGCGAAACCCAAGGUGCAUGCCGAGGGGCGGUUGGCCUCGUAAAAAGCCGCAAAAAAAUAGUCGCAAACGACGAAAACUACGCUUUAGCAGCUUAAUAACCUGCUUAGAGCCCUCUCUCCCUAGCCUCCGCUCUUAGGACGGGGAUCAAGAGAGGUCAAACCCAAAAGAGAUCGCGCGGAUGCCCUGCCUGGGGUUGAAGCGUUAAAACGAAUCAGGCUAGUCUGGUAGUGGCGUGUCCGUCCGCAGGUGCCAGGCGAAUGUAAAGACAGACUAAGCAUGUAGUACCGAGGAUGUAGGAAUUUCGGACGCGGGUUCA
rnacentral:tmRNA from 1 species